rfam:Parcubacteria bacterium GW2011_GWA2_44_12 TW24_C0001, whole genome shotgun sequence.
AGUAUCUUAAAUACAUAUCCGAAGACAGCAAGCGCCGUUUUAAAAAAAGGCUUAAUAUCUUGCCGAGGAGGGUGAGCGGCCAUAGAGUGGUGGCCACAGAGGAACGGGUAUGCGCGCCCGUUUUUAUUUUUUCAA